UUCCUCCUCGUCGUCCUUCCUUUCCCCAGCUCGCAAAUAAACUGAAAUCUUCAUUUGAAGGGGGUUGCUUGUGAGAAACGAACUGCAGGGGUUUCCAGAAGGAGCAUCGGUAGAAGUCUGGACUCCAACGGGUGCUCCGGGGGUGCGCAGGGGUCCCUCGAACCAAGCGUUCUCUCCUCAGAGAUUGAGCCCUGCGCAGCGUGGCCGCCUGGACAAGGAAAGGUGGGGAGAGGGUACUGGAGGAAGUAUGCCCGCCCGCUUUGAUUUCCCUAGACUUAGCGGCGGAGAAACCAGAAGCUAGGUGGGCAGCGGCAGCGGUGACGGCUCUUCCUGGCGUAGCUCACCCGGCUCCCCGCCCUUCCCAACCACGUGACUCCCGGGGACGCUCAGAUUGGGGCAGGAGCGGGGAUCACAUGUUUCCUCUGUCUCACACUCAGUACCCCCCCCCCAUUCUGACUCUCUCCUGCUACCCUCUCUUCCACCACCCGCCCCCCGGCGCGUUCUUUGGGCAUCUCCACCCCUCCAUCAAUUGUCAAUGUUCCUCGACCGCAAUCAAUCAGUUAUUUGUCAGCUCUUGUCAAUCCGCCCGUGAUUUAUGUCAGCUUUUGUUGCUGAUUACAAGGGGGUGCGACUUGAAGGGAAAAAGAGAGAGGGAAAGAGAGACGAAGAGGAAGAGACCGAAAGGGAACCAGAGGAGGGGGAAAGAGGAGUAGCCGCCUGGGCUGGGAGUCUGUGGGCGAUGGGGCGGGAGAGGGGCUGAGAAAAAGAGUGAAAGAGGCGCUCAGUGUCAGGAAAAUGGUUCGUGAGAGUAAAGUGCGCAGGUGCGCCUAGGGCGCAGAGAGGGGGCGCAGGCCUGGGGUGCCGCCAAGCCCCUGAACGUGUGGGAGAGGGAAACAACCUUCCCACCUCCGGGGGCUUUGAUCUACUGGGCCGUGGAGCUCGGGGCGGCUCGGGGUACAGGAGACUGGCGGCGGCGACGUCUAAGACGGAUUUUUUUCCCCCGGGGAUAGUCUCUCAGGGGUGUAUAGCGUGCAGAGGUCAGGCUGCCACCCUGCCGCGGGCACCACCCUCCGUUGUGCCCUUACCCCAAACUCAGAGUCUUCUUUUCACGAGCCAGUCUACCGACGUAAUCUCGAGUCCUGGAGAUCAAUGGUAGGGGUAAACCCCUCCGGCUCCAGUUUUUUGAUACCCUCGGACUGUGUCUAGUGCCCAAAGGCUAGAAGAGGCCCGACCUUGUGUGCAGGGGGGAGAUACGUCUCAGGCUCACUCUGGCCCCCUCCGUAGCCCUUCCCUACCCCCGCCCCUCGGCAUCCUCACAGGCUUGGGAACCGGGGUUACUCGGGGCUCUCUCGAAUUUAUCGGAACGCCGAGCCGGGAGUGACCUGCGCGGGGAGAAAACAGGGAAGGAGAGAGGGAGGGAGGGGGUGGCUGCCUGUGGGAAUAUGGGCUCUUCCAGGGAAGCGGAGCGGGACCGCCGCGUUCCCCUCGAUUUGCACUGUCACUCGGGCUGUUUGGAAAGAAGAGGGGAGGCGCUGUGAGUGCAGCCGUGUACCUGAAUCUGGUGCACAGCGCGCUGCUGUCUGCAACGUCGCCGACCUUGCUCAUGGCGUUGCCUUGGCUUUGUAAAUAUGUGGAGGAGGCUCACGGGAUACUGGCGUCUCAGCACUGGAAUCGACAGGAUUUCUCUGGCUGCUGUGUGCGCUGCUUUUAUCCGAAUAAAUCCAGCUCGCAGGCAUCUGACAGGAAACGGCUCGGGGCUCUCGUGUGCGCCGGACACCUCGGCCCUGUGCGGGACGCGAGGUGGCUUCUCUUGGCCCCUCGGCGGCUGGUCGGGCCCCAGAAGGAUGUCGGACUAGCGGCUUCCGCAGGCAGAGCAGCAGCCUGGCCACGUCUGACAGCAUCCACCUCUCCCGGUGCUUGGGAAAAGCGCUGGGCUCAGUCAGUCAGCGCCGAAAACUGAAAGCAAAUUCUGCUGCAAACGUGGCUGGAGCUUGCCUCGUCGCAGGUUUGCUGCAGAGGUUCAGAGGCGGCUUUGGGAGGACCGCGCACUAGUUAGUGCGCGCGCGGGAUGGGGCGGAGGGCGAAGAGGGCGAUGGGCGGCCGAGGGCGAAGCGCUGGGGCAAGCGCCUUCUCAUCUCUUUUCCUCCAACUCCUCGGCCUCUGUCAGUAAAAAUGGUUUCUAAGCUGCCGCGGAAUUUCAAGAUGUGUUUCUGGGGAUUACAUGGCGGGGGGGGGGGGCUUUGUAAAAGUUGCAGAAAGAGCUUUGUCCAUAAGCGUCCGCCCAGGGGGCUGGAAGAAAAAAAACAACCAUGAGAUCCGCGAGCCUUUGGUGGGGGGGAAUGGUAAAGAAUCGCCCUGCCCUCCCCUCCCAGUCUGGUCCUCUCCCCACACCUCAAACCAGUGCGUGAAGACCCUUGGGCCGACUGCCCUGCAAACUUCCCCGCGCGGCGCCGCGGUUGGCAGGAGAGGCCCGGUCACAGCGCUAGCCCGCAAGGCCGCUCCUCGGCUCGCUCGGCCCCAACCCUGAGAAAGGUUUGCACUGAGGUGGGGGACAUGUGGCUCCCGCUCCCCACUUGACUGCCCCGAGCUUCAUCGCCGGCCCCAUUGACUCCCUAGA